rnacentral:lncRNA from 1 species
GCCAAUGACAUUAGAAGGGUCUGGGAUUUGUUCAAAAGGAGCAACCAAAAAAAGCCUGCAGAUACAGCAUAAGGGAUAUUAUGCUAGGGCUUAUACCAGCCAUUAGUUCUGAUUACUGGGGAGCUUUUGAGGUGCAAAAUGGCCGUGAUGAUUGGAAUCGCUUUCAGAGUUUCUUGGCUUUGUUGCCUGCUAAUUGGCGUGAUAACCUGUUCUACAUCAAGUGAUGGGUAUCCUGCACCAGGUUCUGAUGCAGCAUGGCUCUAUACAGGCCCACUUAAGUCUAAAGGAUAUGGUAAUUACAACUCCAACAGCUCAAUUGCAAGCGCAGCUGACCGAAGAGCAACAGAAACAUCUGGCAGCCAUUCUGCAAAAGCAACUGGCCCCCAUGCCCCAGGCACCUCAGAAAAUGUGGUAUCCAACUCAAAUGCCCCAGAAGCAACCAGUUACUGAACUUCAGCAUCAGAAGGAACACGCCUCCAUACCCCAGCUACCUCAGCAAGUGUGGUAUCCAGUUCAAAUUCCUCAGCAGCAAAAGCAACCAGCUACUGGUCCUCAGCAGCAGACGGAACUGACCACCAUGCCCCAGAAGCAACCGGCUCCAAUGCCUAUACCGCAGAAACAACCAACAGCUAUGCCCCAGAAAGCAUGGUAUCCAGCUCAAAUUCAGCAGAAGCAACCGGCCACCAUGCACCAGCAAGUGUGGCAUCCAGCUCAAUUGCCCCAGCAGCAAAAGCAACCGGCUACUGAACCUCGGCAGCAGAAGGAACCGGCCUCCAUAACCCAGCAACCUCAGCAAGUGUUGCAUCCAGCUCAAAUGCUGCUGAAGCAACUGACUGCCAUGCCCCAGCAAGUGUGGUAUCCAGCUAAGCCCCAGAAGCAACUGGCCGCUGAUCCUCAGGAGCAGAUUGAACUGAACGCCAUGCCCCAGCAACCUCAGCAAGUGUGGUAUCCAGCUCAAAUGCCCCAGAAGCAACCAACCGCUGAACCUCAGUGGCAUCCAGCCAAAUUUCCCCAGGAGCAACCCGUCCAAAUGCGUCAACUGCAGAAGGAACUGACCGCCAUUCCACCACAACUGUGGCAAUCCGCUCAAAUUCCCCAGCAGCAUAAGCAACCGGCUGCCAAGCUUCAGCAAUUGUGGCAACUGGCCCCCAUUCCCCAGCAGCCUCAUGACGUGUGGUAUCCAGCUAAAAUGGUCCAGAAGCAACAAGCAGCUGCAACUCAGCAGCAGAAGGAACUGACCACCAUGCCUCAAGAGUGGUAUCCAGCUCAAUUUCCCCAGCAGCAGAAGCAGCCAGCCCUAAUGCUUUUACCGCAGAAGGAACUGACCGCCAUACACCAGCAACCUCAGCAAGUGUGGCAUCCAAUGCACAUUCCCCAGCAGCAACAGGAACUGGCCACCAUACCCCAGCAAGUGAGGUAUCCAGCUCAAAUGCCCCAGAAGCAUCUGGCCUCCAUGCCUCUACCACAGAAGCAACCGACCGCCAUGCCCCAGCAAGAGUGGCAUCCAGCUCAAAUGCCCCAGCAGCAGAAACAACUGGCCCCAAUGCCUCAACCACAGAAGCAACAGGCCACCAUGCCCCCGCAAGUAUGGCAUCCAGCUCAAAUGCCUCAGCAGCAAAAGCAACCAGCUACUGAACCUCAGCAGCAAAUUGAACCGACCGCCAUGCCCCAGCCACCUCAGCAAUUGUGGCAUCCAGAUCAAUUUCUCCAGGAGCAGAAGCAACCAUUCACUAUGCAUCUACCGCAGAACGAACUGACCGCCAAUCCACCACAACUGUGGCAAUCCGCUCAAGUGCCCCAGCAGCAUAAGCAACCGGCUGCCAUGCUUCAGCAAGUGUGGCAUCGGGCACAGAAGCAACCGGCCCCUAUGCCCCAGCAGCCUCACGACGUGUGGUAUCCAGCUAAAAUGGUCCAGAAGCAAGUCGCUGCGGUGACCGCCAUGCCGCAUACGCAUCAGCAAGUAUGGCAUCCAGCUGAAUUUCCCCAGCAGCAGAAGCAACCGGCCUCAAUGCCUCUACCGCAGGAGCAACCGACCGCCGUACCCCAGCAAGUGUGGUAUCCAGCUCAAAUGUCCCAGCAGCGGAAGCAACACACUGCCAUGCCACAGCACCAACUGACCCCCAUGCCUCAGCAAUUAUGGCAUGUAGCUCAAAUGCCCCAGAAGCAACUGGCCCCAAUGUCUCAGCAGAAUCACUACGAAAGCACUGAUGAUGGUGCCUCUAGUAGCACUCAGGCCAGCAUCGUUGAACAGUCGGGUGUCAUCCCAAUCUAUUCCUACAGUUCCAAAUCGCACUACGGGAAUGGCAGGACUGUAUUCUCCCUAACCCGCUACACUCCUAGGGACGCUAUGCCUGUUGACAGUGGAAAUGCUCCCAAGGACAGUUUUGUUCGUACUGGUGCACCAAGCGUAUAUCCAUCACUAGUGAAGGAUUCUGCAAGGAAAAUGUAAUGGAUUCAUCCUCUAGAAGCUAAUGGAAGUAUCUGGUGCUCUUGCUACUCUAGCGUGAGGGAGUACAUGAACAGUGCUACUUUCAAAAAUGUCUCUGUGAAAUAAUGGUUCUCAUGUCCAUUGCUUGCUAAUUGAGAACAGGUGGUGUGCAGUCUGUAGUAAAAAUGACUGCCCAGUUAAUUCUUUGUUUUUCUAGUCUUUUACCUUUGCUACUGGCUGUUCAAAAUAAAAGCUUGGGUCUACAUUUGUCAAGGGGUGAGUUGUCAGACAUUCUUCAUAUGUUCAUACUUUAGAUGUAGGCAUGCAUUGUAUACAGUGAGACUGUCUUCAACCUCAGUAAGCUAACAUAUAGGGAAUGGUUUUUAGAUGGUCAGACCAUGGCUCAUUUAGCUACUAGAAUUGAGUGACCAUUUAGUUUCAAACUUGCAUUUGGCCUUAUACUAUAGCCCAUACCACAAAUAGCAAAGGGUCAAAUCAGUUUAGGAGUCUUCCAUAUCUAGUUGACUCAAAUGUUAUUUUGGAUGCUUCAACCCCUGUUGGCACAUCUACCUCCAUACUUCUGUUUGUAUGGGUUACCUGUCUUACAAUUGUGGGGUCAUAGAGGGAAAUGUAACUAUGUUCGGGAGUCAAUUUCCCAUAAUGGUCAGUUUGUAGGCCAAACCGUUCUGAAGCUAUAGAUGUUUUUGAGACUGCAUUUUUGGGGUGUCUGACCAACACCACCGUAGCUCGGCCCCUGUCCACCGCAGAUGCGUAAGGGCGACAGGCGGAUGCAGUGGAUUGAGACGCAGCCCAUUAAAAAUGUUCUAGCUUCAACUGGAUUUUGAUGGGCCUUUUACUUUGACUGCCUCAAUACUCUUCACCUGUAGCCCAUUCCUCCUAGUCCAUUUAUUGUACCACAGGCUCCUAUGGAAUGGAUUCGGUGUAUUUGAUUUCUACAAUGCCUGGCACGGUUUAACCGAUCAAUUAACAAAUGUAUUCUGUAUAGACUGUCUUUAAACAUGCACAUUUUUCUUUACCAAUUAAUAAUCGAACUGCGUAGUAUGAGAAUUAGGCCCUUAAAUGGAUCCAUUAAGUUCCAAAGAGGAAGCUGGUAGGCACUAACAUGACAGUUUAGCUAGCAUAAGAUGUCACCCAGGACUUUUGGACUAGACAUAUUUGCCUGUUGUAGUUGACUCUGUUUGGCCAGACUCAUGAACAUGAAUGAAAUUGUAUAUGCAUUGAAUUUUCUACAAGAAGUUGCACUUUGCUUUUGGACAAUCUCUUGUCUAGCAUACGUC